rnacentral:rRNA from 1 species
GGAUCAGAAAGCCGCGGUGAAUACGUUCCCGGGCCUUGUACACACCGCCCGUCACACCAUGGAAGUCGGAAGCGCCCGAAGCCGGUGACUCAACCUAGUGGUUAUCAAAGUAAUCUUUAAUCUAGUUCUACUGGUCUUUUUGUUAUUUUACUGCGUUACUUUUUCUAUGAGUACCUUCCAGGUACCCACAGAAAAAAAGCCUUGUAAAAUAAACAAAAAUCCUUCGUAUAACAUACAAUCAAGAUUAUUUUGACAACCACUGGGAGAGAGCCGUCGAAGGUGAAGUCGAUAACUAGGGUGAAGUCGUAACAAGGUAGCCGUAUCGGAAGGUGCGGCUGGAUCACCUCCUUUCU